AUUGAACGCUGGCGGCAGGCCUAACACAUGCAAGUCGAACGAGUGGCGGACGGGUGAGUAAUGUCUGGGAAACUGCCCGAUGGAGGGGGAUAACUACUGGAAACGGUAGUUAAUACCGCAUACCAUCGGAUGUGCCUAGAUGGGAUUAGCUAGUAGGUGGGGUAACGGCUCACCGAGGCGACGAUCCCUAGCUGGUCUGAGAGGAUGACCCGCCACACUGGAACUGAGAAACGGUCCGGACUCCUACGGGAGGCAGCAGUGGGGAAUAUUGCACAAUGGGCGCAAGCCUGAUACGGCCAUGCCGCGUGUAUGAAGAAGGCCUUCGAGUUGUAAAGUACUUUCAGCGGGGAGGCGUUACCCGCAGAAGAAGCACCGGCUAACUCCGUGCCAGCAGCCGCGGUAAUUC
rnacentral:rRNA from 1 species